rnacentral:lncRNA from 1 species
AUGGGUCCUUUCAGGGGGCGGCCGCAGAGCGAGGGCCUGGGGUGGAGGUGCCGUGCUCGGCCCCAGGAAUGGCAGUGCCCGGGCAGGCCCGGGGCAGUGAGGAGAGGGGCCGCAGCCUUCAGCUCUGACCUCAGGGCCUCGGGCCCAGUCUCCUCCCCCUCCGUGUCCUGGACACCCCCUGACACCACGCUGGGCAGCAGGAAAGGGGCCAGCCGUCCUUGGUCCAAAUGCCACUGUCCUUGUUUUUUUCCUAUAAUUAUGUCUCUGAGGGAUAACUAUGAAUUUACAUUUUGCUCAGCUCAGUCAUUUAUUCGGAGGCUGCGAGGAAGGCCCGGCUGUCAAAGGCGCAUUGAUGUGUGUUUUCGUGUUGCCGGGGUGACCAGCAAGGGCCCGCGGACACAACCGGCCCUUGUGGCCCGGGCGGCCUGUGAGCCGCGGUGCCCGCACCACCUGGCCUGUGUAGACGCCCCCGCUCCGCUCGCCAUGAAUGACUUCAGUGUGCGGAGGUUUCUUUUUCCAUACCUGGCCACCGAAACUUCCAACAUUCUUCUCGAGAAAAUGUGGCAUGCUGCCCUGGCCGCUUUCUCGCCGACCAGCUUAUCCGUCCCCGUGCGGCCCACACCUAUGCCGGCACUUCUUCCUCAUGGCGACAUUAGAAAGUCCUGCUUCCCUUUCUGCCACCUGCCGCUACGGCCUGACAACGGCUCCCUCUGGCUUCACGAGAACCAGGCAGCCCGUCGGAAACUCCUGCGUCUUGAAGAGCCGUCGACAGGCCGGCUGUGCGGCGCCGCUUUCCGAUGGCCCCGGUGCAUCCGGCCUGCAGAGCCAGCGGCCCCGGCUGGGCGCAGAGCCGGCAGGUCUGGGUCUGGAACCAGGUCCCGUUCUGGGUGUCAGCAGAUGUUCAGGUGGCCCCAGGCCAUCCCUGAUGUCCUGACCGACCCUGCCAGGCACUGCCAGCACGCCACCUCUCGUCCUUCCACCGGAAGGACGCCUCCUUCAGGGAGAAUGCAGGGAUGGGAGUGGACAGCACCGGGUGGGUGGGUAGGCAGCCUGAUCUCAACUCUGCAUGUGUGUGGAUACACACGUAUGGAUGCACAUGCGUGA